rnacentral:rRNA from 1 species
GAAAGGCCAAUCAAACCGGGAGAUAGCUGGUUCUCCCCGAAAGCUAUUUAGGUAGCGCCUCGUGAAUUCAUCUCCGGGGGUAGAGCACUGUUUCGGCAAGGGGGUCAUCCCGACUUACCAACCCGAUGCAAACUGCGAAUACCGGAGAAUGUUAUCACGGGAGACACACGGCGGGUGCUAACGUCCGUCGUGAAGAGGGAAACAACCCAGACCGCCAGCUAAGGUCCCAAAGUCAUGGUUAAGUGGGAAACGAUGUGGGAAGGCCCAGACAGCCAGGAUGUUGGCUUAGAAGCAGCCAUCAUUUAAAGAAAGCGUAAUAGCUCACUGGUCGAGUCGGCCUGCGCGGAAGAUGUAACGGGGCUAAACCAUGCACCGAAGCUGCGGCAGCGACACUAUGUGUUGUUGGGUAGGGGAGCG